UACGUAGGGUGCAAGCGUUGUCCGGAUUUAUUGGGCGUAAAGAGCGUGUAGGCGGCCUGAUAGGUCAGCUGUGAAAACUCGAGGCUCAACCUCGAGACGUCGGUUGAAACCAUCUGGCUAGAGUCCGGAAGAGGAGAGUGGAAUUCCCGGUGUAGCGGUGAAAUGCGCAGAUAUCGGGAAGAACACCCGUGGCGAAGGCGGCUCUCUGGGACGGUACUGACGCUGAGACGCGAAAGCGUGGGGAGCGAACAGG
rnacentral:rRNA from 1 species